rnacentral:rRNA from 1 species
GAUGAACGCUGGCGGCGUGCCUAAUACAUGCAAGUCGAGCGAACAGACGAGGAGCUUGCUCCUCUGACGUUAGCGGCGGACGGGUGAGUAACACGUGGAUAACCUACCUAUAAGACUGGGAUAACUUCGGGAAACCGGAGCUAAUACCGGAUAAUAUAUUGAACCGCAUGGUUCAAUAGUGAAAGACGGUUUUGCUGUCACUUAUAGAUGGAUCCGCGCCGCAUUAGCUAGUUGGUAAGGUAACGGCUUACCAAGGCGACGAUACGUAGCCGACCUGAGAGGGUGAUCGGCCACACUGGAACUUAGACACGGUCCAGACUCCUACGGGAGGCAGCAGUAGGGAAUCUUCCGCAAUGGGCGAAAGCCUGACGGAGCAACGCCGCGUGAGUGAUGAAGGUCUUCGGAUCGUAAAACUCUGUUAUUAGGGAAGAACAAAUGUGUAAGUAACUAUGCACGUCUUGACGGUACCUAAUCAGAAAGCCACGGCUAACUACGUG